rnacentral:rRNA from 1 species
CACGUAGGGUGCGAGCGUUGUCCGGAAUUAUUGGGCGUAAAGAGCUCGUAGGCGGUGUGUCGCGUCGGCCGUGAAAACCUGCAGCUUAACUGUGGGCUUGCGGUCGAUACGGGCAUGACUGGAGUUCGGCAGGGGAGACUGGAAUUCCUGGUGUAGCGGUGAAAUGCGCAGAUAUCAGGAGGAACACCGGUGGCGAAGGCGGGUCUCUGGGCCGAUACUGACGCUGAGGAGCGAAAGCGUGGGGAGCGAACAGG